rnacentral:rRNA from 1 species
AAACUGACAAGCUAGAGUACUGUAGAGGGGGGUAGAAUUUCAGGUGUAGCGGUGAAAUGCGUAGAGAUCUGAAGGAAUACCGGUGGCGAAGGCGGCCCCCUGGACAGAUACUGACACUCAGAUGCGAAAGCGUGGGGAGCAAACAGGAUUAGAUACCCUGGUAGUCCACGCCGUAAACGAUGUCUACUUGGAGGUUGUGCCCUAGAGGUGUGGC